GGUGGCGUGUCCGAGCGGCCUAAGGAGCACGCCUCGAAAGCGUGUGUGGGUCCUGCCCACCGUGGGUUCAAAUCCCACCGCCACCG
rnacentral:tRNA from 1 species